rnacentral:rRNA from 1 species
GGUCAAGUGACCAAGCGCAUAUGGUGGAUGCCUUGGCGGCAACAGGCGAUGAAGGACGUGGUAGCCUGCGAAAAGCCUCGGGGAGCUGGCAAACAAGCUUUGAUCCGGGGAUGUCCGAAUGGGGAAACCCGACCUGGAUAACCAGGUCAUCGGCAUCUGAAUUCAUAGGAUGUCGAGGCAAACCCGGGGAACUGAAACAUCUAAGUACCCGGAGGAAGAGAAAUCAACCGAGAUUCCCUGAGUAGCGGCGAGCGAAAGGGGAUCAGCCCAGCACGAUUUAACACGCGAUCUAGCAGAACGGUCUGGAAAGUCCGGUCAUAGAGGGUGAUAGCCCCGUAUGCGAAAGAACGUGUGUGGAACUAGGCGUGCGAAUGAGUAGGGUGGGACACGUGUUAUCCUGUCUGAAUAUGGGGGGACCAUCCUCCAAGGCUAAAUACUC